AAAGGGGAUAAGUUUAGGAAGCAGCUGUGAUCCUUAACGUUAGCAAAUGGAUCUAACCUUCUUUUUUUUUUUUUUUUUUGAUGGAACAAAUCUCAAACUUGGGAAAUUCAUCAACCCACAAAUUACUCCCACCAUUUUCCCAUCUGAAUCCAAAAGACACUCCUGGGCAAAAUAGUUCAAGAAGAAAACCAACUUUCUUUUACAACUCUCCUACAUCCUUGGAAUUUUCAAUACUUUCAAUUACAAAUGAUGGAUCCAUCCAGCUUAAUCCCUUCAAAUUGUCCAUGGAUAUUACAAAUGAUGGAUCCAUCCAACUUAAUCCCUUCAAAUUGUCCAUGGAUGACCAUUGAAAGCCCAAUGGAGGCAGGCAAACAGGGGGCUUGGACUCACUGCACAUAAAAUAGACCACUGCAAAUUGAUUCUUAAGUUCCCCGAAGGCACUAACAGCACCUGGGUGUGUUUCUUCUACUCUCCCCUACUCUCAGUCUCUAUGAUGUAUUUUUUUUAUAAGCUGCUGAGUGUUGAUAGUUUUAGUUAUAAUAAUUGCAGUAUAAUGAGCAGUUUAAAAUAUAUGAACCUUUGGAGUACACAUAUGAUGUUUGUGAGGCAAUUCUAUUA